rnacentral:rRNA from 1 species
UACGUAGGGUGCAAGCGUUAAUCGGAAUUACUGGGCGUAAAGCGUGCGCAGGCGGUGAUGUAAGACAGAUGUGAAAUCCCCGGGCUCAACCUGGGAACUGCAUUUGUGACUGCAUCGCUGGAGUGCGGCAGAGGGGGAUGGAAUUCCGCGUGUAGCAGUGAAAUGCGUAGAUAUGCGGAGGAACACCGAUGGCGAAGGCAAUUCCCUGGGCCUGCACUGACGCUCAUGCACGAAAGCGUGGGGAGCAAACAGG